ensembl:antisense A230072E10Rik RIKEN cDNA A230072E10 gene
AUGAUACAAGCGAGAUUUCACAGAUGUACUCUUCUUCCCCGUUUUAAUGGUAACAGCCUGUGAACUUCAGCUAAGUAUAUCUAAAAUUUGUAUCUUACCCUCUUAAAUAUGGUCUUAUAAACAGCAUACUUGGGACUGUGCAAGGCUUAUCCAAUCCCAGCUUCUUGGUACAUCUAUCUGUCAUUUCUCCAUUCUCCAUUGCCCUGGUCAAGGCAAUCCCAAAGCCAUGCUGAUUGAGACACUCAGGGAUCCCUUAACUGCUUUAAGUAAUAGAUCUUUCUCCGCUCUUUCAUGUCUUGGCUGUGCUUGUUUUAACCUUUUGCAUUCACCAAGAUGUGAGCUCAUUACAUUUGGUUACAAAGAGAAUAAACAGUCAGAAAUGAGGUGUGGCAAAUUACAAGCCCAAAAUACACGGAACUGAUACAGGUGGAAUCUUCUAGCAUCCAUUGAUGGGAAGGGAGUUGACACUUUUUGUAAGAUAUGGCAGUGAACCAGUUAAUUACAGUUCCUGGAACUCAAAAGAAAAGCCCUGGAGCUGGGUGUGGAGUUCAGUGGUAGAAUCCUUCCCCAGCUUCUAUUCCUCAGGACCACAAACAAACAAAAACAAACUGAGCUUUGAUUGCUGCAGGCACAAAUCCCUUGGUCCUGCUGACUUGCAGCAAAAAUGUCAGACCCACUUCAAGGAUUUCACUGAUUAAGAAACUAGCACCAGCAAAUUAUUCACACAUGUAUAAGGAGUAGUAACUCCUCAUGGCAUCAACUUUGCCAGAAGUGCUGAUUUCCCAUAACUGAAUCCAACUAGAUGUUAAGAAGCAAGUGAACAUCCAUCCCCAAGGCGGAUCAGGACGGAGGUGGGGAAGGUUUCACAGUAGUAAGCUCAGCUCAGCUUACUAUCUCCUACUGGAUCUCUGAUCGAGAGGAUCUUGAACAGAAUGACAGAGAGAAUGAGCCAAAUACUUAGAGAGUGCUAAGAAAAAGAAGCUGCAACAGUAGUAAAUCACUUGCUUUGUAUGUGCAGGACAAGGAGUCCGAUCCCCAGCACCGGAAAAAAAGGAAGAGAAAGGAGACCAACAACAAGAAUUUUACUACCUGUUAUUAAUACUUGCUACUGGGACAUCUCCCAACAUGAAACCAAUAGGCCUUCAAUUGAAGACUUAGAAAAUUUUCAUCAGUAGAAAAUCAUGUCUAGUGAAUCAUGAUUGUAAUGGACCACCCAGAGUAGCAACUCUGGAGCAGCACAUCACAGUACCUGUUCUGAACAGGAUCAUUUCAAGCCUCACCCUGUAUUUUCAACAUUGGAAACACUGAGUGUACCAUCAGAAAUCCAUGAUUUUAGUAGUGUUGAAGAUGAAGCCAGAAAAAUGUUGAAGCACUAUAAACAGUGUGCAAACUACUGAUGUCUCUGGCAUCCAACACCUGUGAUGUACCUCAAGGCCUGCUGAUGAGAUUCUGGGACAAGCAACCAAAAGCCAGCAAAGAAAAGCAUCAACUUGGAUUCAUUUAGGACCAGGAGGGAUUGAAGCUGGAUUCUGCACUGGUGGAGCUGGAAAUGACUGCAAAUUCAUCCCGGGCUGGAAGAGUCCCCCAGAUUGGGUAGGAAGCACUACAGACUGUUGUGCUGGUCCAGAAAUUCCUACCCACUGUACUGGAUAACCUGCGGCACCCACAGCAUUAUACUGACAAACGUGAGGCAUUCCAUAUGAUGCUAAUGGCCCAUGAAAUGAAGGGAGUGGGAGUCCUUGUGGCAAGGAAGUUGGGGCAGCUCCACGAAUUUGGGAGAGAGAAGAAAUCCAGUUUGACGUGUAUCCCAUAGUAGAUGGAGUACUCUAACAAAAAACAAAAACAAACAUAAAAACAUAACGUCAGUUCAUAUGGCACAUUCUUUUCUCAGCCUCUAUGCCUAUUCUUUUUGCUUCACUUCUAUUACAUUGAGUGAAGCACCUUUCUAUGAGUUAUGAAUGAGUAACAUUCUUUUUUUUUAAAGAUUUAUUUAUUUAUUUAUUUAUUUAUUUAUUUAUUUCAUGUAUGUGGAUACACUGUAGCUGUCUUCAGACACACCAGAAGAGGGCUUCAGAUCCCAUUACAGAUGGUUGUGAGCCAGCAUGUGGUUGCUGGGAAUUGAACUUAGGACCUCUGGAAGAGCAGUCAGUACUCUUAACCACUGAGCCAUCUCUGCAGCCCAUCUUUACUUCAGCUCAUCUUCCUAACUGCCCUGCUUUUCAGUAUAGGCAUUAUUAGAUAAGGAAACAGAAACUAAAAUUGGUAAGCAACCCAAGGUCACCAAGCAACUAAGACAGGGAUUUCAACCCAUUCCAGAUAAUUCCAAGGCCCAUAUUAACUUCCUGUUCACACUUUAGCCCCUACUUUACUCAUCCUAACAGUAUUAUUUUGCUUUUAAUUCAUUCUGCCUGCCACGAAUGUUCUUUUAGACUGUAUGCAUAGAGGAAAAUAGUUCAUCUUACUUGUAUGAAUCUCUGGACAGAGGAACAUAAUCAGUGUAACAAGGGGACCUAACAUAUAGUAAAUGCUCAGUAAAUAUCUCCUCUGUUCCCUUUUCACUAUCUUAAAUCUCUCUAGCCCUUCUGUUAUAUCCAUACACAUUUAUUUUUAUUCUUGUGUGUGUGGUGUGUACAUGCAUGUGAGCUUAUGUGCAUAUAGAGGCAAGAAGUCCACUUCGAGUGUCAUUCCUCAGGUGCUAUCCAAGUUCUUUUUUGAGGCAGAGUCUGUCACUGUCCUGAAGCUCACAAAAUAGGCAAGGCUGGCUAGUUAGCAAUCUCCAAGAAUUCUUCUGUCUCUUCCUACCCAGUGCUGGUAGUUAUGCAAGCACCACACAUACUCAGCUUUUUCAUAUGGGUCCUAAGUCCUAAACUCAAGUCCUCAUACUUGCAUGCUAAGUACUUUACUGAUUAAGCUGCCUUCCCAGCCCUCUGUUCUUCUAAAUUAAACUCAAAACCACAAGACAAUUGUGUUUUGAGCAGUACUGAAAAGAUAUAUUCUUGUUUAAUAUUGUGAUUAAAUAUAUGAAUAGAGAUUAGAAUAUAUUAAUAAAGCACAUAGGAAUAAUG